rnacentral:lncRNA from 1 species
GUAUUUCUUUUGUGAUAAGCUAGUAUCGUUUAGGUGUGCAGAUGUCACAGCGGCAUCCCUGAUCAGUGCACGUAGCAGUCCAAUUGCAAUCAGGGCACGCAUGGUGACCGUUGACUAUUGCGCGGCAAAUGUGCUGGCAAGCUGGAGCAUCACACUUUAUAGGCGUCGGGGUCAUUGAUCCCGCGCAAACGCCAGUCGUUGUUGCCGCCUUCACUUCUGUAAAAAACAAAACAAAGGUACCAUGAACAAAUUGACCAAAGCAAUCCCACGUCUUACUGCUCGAGCUGAAUAAUACCUAAUGCUAGCGCGAGGAAGGCGAGGGUCAAGAGCAACAUAUGUGUAGUCUUCAUCUUAGUUUGCUAGAUAUGUGGUGUUUGUAACCCACAAAAAGAAAGAAAAGGUGUGUUUGUAUGAACUCUUGUUGAUUGCUUGAAUAGGUG